CUCGCGGGCAGGGCGGAAGCGGCCGCCGUGUUUACAACCCGCGCCGGGGCCGGGACGCGCCGGGCCGGGGGCACCGGCGAGCGCCCCUCGCCCAUGUGCCCGCAGCCCCCGCCGCCCAUGGAAGUGAUGGAGGGGCCCCUCAACCUGGCUCACCAGCAAAGCAGAAAAGCAGACCGCUUGUUGGCAGCAGGGAAAUAUGAAGAAGCAAUUUCUUGUCACAAAAAAGCUGCUGGGUACCUUACAGACGCGAUGAAGCUGACCCAGUCGGAGCAGGCUCAGCUAUCGCUGGAAUUACAAAGGGAUAGUCAUAUGAAACAGUUACUGCUCAUCCAGGAGAGGUGGAAAAGGGCAAAGAGGGAGGAAAAACUGAAAGCCCAGCAGAGUGCUGACAAGGAAGCAGCCACACAUCUUCAGACUUCUUACAAACCAUCUGCUGAAGACUCUGAUGAUCAAAAUGUACUGGUUCCUGUUGCUCAGAAAUACAGCUCCUCCACAGAGAAACAUUCACAGGAUAUUCGGGGUGUCUUUGACAGGGACCCAGAUACACUUUUAUUUCUGCUUCAGAAAAAAAAGGAGCCAGUGGAAGCAUGUAUUGGGAGUAAAGCGCCAAAAGAUGACAAAACAAUAAUAGAAGAGCAGGCAACCAAAAUUGCAGAUUUGAAGCAGCUCAUAGAAUCUCUUGUAGCUGAAAAUGAGAGAUUGAGGAGAGAGAAUAAGCAGUUAAAAGCAGAAAGAGCUAGACUCCAGAAAUCUCCAGUAGACAAAGAGUUGGAUGUAGAUACUGACUUUGUCGAGAAGUCAGAGUUGUGGGGUCUGCAGCAGCACUCAGAAUCUGCUUCUUCAGCUGCAACUUGGCAGAAGUUUGCAACAACUGCUGGGAAGGCAAAGGACAUUCCAAUACCCAACCUUCCCCCCCUGGACAUCCCAUCCCCUGAACUCCCGCUGCUGGAACUCUCUGACGAUAUACUGAAAGGACUGAUGAAUAGUUAAAAACCAGGAAAAGUGCUCAGUGUAGUUACCCAAGCUUGAGAAAAGGGAAAGCCACCAGGACAAUGGUGAUCUGAGGGCAGAAACAUUUACCACAAUCCUACUGUUGGAGAAAAGGCAUUAAGCAACUUUGUUACUGUGAAAUACACUUCAUAUCUGAUUUACUUCAUGGAAGUUAAAGACUUGGAAGUGCAGCAAGAACACCUUACUGCUCUGCAAAUUCUCCCCUUACUUCUGUAUACCUGGCAUCUUCUGUGCUUGAAGGAGCAUAGGGACUGGAGGUUAGAAAAAGUCUGUAGAAACAGUCUGCCUACUCAAUACAACUGCUGCCGAAUCCCAACUCCAGGCAGUAACGCUGAGCACGGGUGUGUUCCACUUUCGUGAGUGAUGCUGAAUUUUUUAAAGUAAGGAAUUCUUCAGUCUGAGUCCAGAGCUAAGCAAUUACUCGGUGCACUGGAAUAAGUGGUAUUUGGAGUACCUGUGAACUUCAACAACUUCUGGCACUGUUUAGACACUUCCAGUUUCCCCCACGGAGAGAAGAACAUCUACAGCCUGACAGGCAGGUGCCAGGGAUCCCUGCCCAGGUCUCUAAGCACUCUAGGGUGGCAGGGCCAGCUGUCAGCGGGGCCCAAAGGGUGGUACCAAAGCUCAGACCUCGAGGCACAGGAGCUGUCAAAUGUACAGGCACUGGAGAAGAGGUAGAGGUGGAGGAAGAGGUCGUUGCCUGGCCAGGGCAGGCGUGGCAACAUGACAUUUUGGGACAGUAACUCAGGGGACACCAAGCCCUGUGCCCCCACUCAGCUGCCAAGACACACCAUCAUAGGGGUGAGCAGUGAUGGCCCAGACCCAACAACUGCUCUUGGCUGCAGGAAAAGAACCAAGGGGAAUGGGACUCUGCAGCGGGAAUGAUAAUUUCAUACUUGUAAGGCAUGUUAAAAAAAAUUCAAUUGAAGAAGAAAAUACUUAAAUAUUUACAUAUCCUGAACUUAAAAUACAAAGUAUGUACAACUAGAGUCCACUUCUCAUUAAGCAAAUGUACACUGGCAAAUCCUGCAUUUUCAGCCAAUGCUCUAAUGCUGCAGGGAAGAAUAAAGAUAAUAAUGGAUUGAACAGGCUACAAAGCUGAGAAGCAAUUGCUAAGUGCAGCACCAUUAACUCCCUGGUAUUUCUCUGCAACUUGACAAAACUCAAGUUCUCGAGCCAACUAAAUAUUCUGACUUUUGGAAUGAGGAAUUGCUUUUGUGCUUUAUUAUUUUGAAAGGUAACUUACAUGGGAUUUGGGGUUUUUGGUGACCCCAAAUUCAGUCAGAUGUGUCAGGCUGGAAGAGUAAUCAGGCUUGUUACUGUAACCAGGUUAAUUACUAUCCCCUUUUGGACAUCUCACGAGCUGGCCAUUGGCUCUGCCUAAUAUUUGGUAAUCUAUCUAAGUAUUUGAAUAGUUUCAAUAACUUAAAGCACACUUCUUGUGAAGAUUUUCAAACUCACUCCAAAACCUAGAAUUCUGCUCAACUGCUAACAUUUAUCAUUAUUAAAUUAAAAAAAUAUAAAAAUACAUUUUUAAAAACAUCCAUUAUUUUGUAGUAUUGAACCAUUAAAGGCAAAUUGUUACGAAAUAAUCAUUCUACAGAAACGCCUUUCCCCUUCCCGUAGAGGAAGUGCCGAUUCCUAAAGGGAAGGGGGCGAGUGGCAGAGGCUCCCGCCAGCGCCGCGCUCGCAGUGCCGGCUGCGGCCCGCAGAGGGCAGCACUC